rnacentral:rRNA from 1 species
UACGUAGGGUGCAAGCGUUGUCCGGAAUUAUUGGGCGUAAAGAGCUCGUAGGCGGUCUGUCGCGUCGGCUGUGAAAACCCGGAGCUCAACUCCGGGCCUGCAGUCGAUACGGGCAAACUGGAGUGUUGCAGGGGAGACUGGAAUUCCUGGUGUAGCGGUGAAAUGCGCAGAUAUCAGGAGGAACACCGGUGGCGAAGGCGGGUCUCUGGGCAACAACUGACGCUGAGGAGCGAAAGCGUGGGGAGCGAACAGGAUUAGAAACCCCCGUAGUCC